AACGAACGCCGGCGGCAGGCUUAACACAUGCAAGUCGAACGCCCCGCAAGGGGAGUGGCAGACGGGUGAGUAACGCGUGGGAAUCUACCUAGCUCUUCGGAAUAGCUCCGGGAAACUGGAAUUAAUACCGAGUACGCCCUACGGGGGAAAGAUUUAUCGGGGUUAGAUGAGCCCGCGUUGGAUUAGCUAGUUGGUGGGGUAAUGGCCUACCAAGGCGACGAUCCAUAGCUGGUCUGAGAGGAUGAUCAGCCACACUGGGACUGAGACACGGCCCAGACUCCUACGGGAGGCAGCAGUGGGGAAUAUUGGACAAUGGGCGAAAGCCUGAUCCAGCCAUGCCGCGUGAGUGAUGAAGGCCUUAGGGUUGUAAAGCUCUUUCGGUGGGGAAGAUAAUGACGGUACCCACAGAAGAAGCCCCGGCUAACUUCGUGCCAGCAGCCGCGGUAA
rnacentral:rRNA from 1 species